AGAGUUUGAUCCUGGCUCAGGACGAACGCUGGCGGCGUGCUUAACACAUGCAAGUCGAACGCUGAAGCUCAGCUUUUGUUGGGUGGAUGAGUGGCGAACGGGUGAGUAACACGUGAGUAACCUGCCCCCUUCUUUGGGAUAACGCCCGGAAACGGGUGCUAAUACUGGAUAUUCACUGGCCUUCGCAUGGGGGUUGGUGGAAAGGUUUUUUCUGGUGGGGGAUGGGCUCGCGGCCUAUCAGCUUGUUGGUGGGGUGAUGGCCUACCAAGGCUUUGACGGGUAGCCGGCCUGAGAGGGUGACCGGUCACAUUGGGACUGAGAUACGGCCCAGACUCCUACGGGAGGCAGCAGUGGGGAAUAUUGCACAAUGGGCGCAAGCCUGAUGCAGCGACGCCGCGUGAGGGAUGACGGCCUUCGGGUUGUAAACCUCUUUCGCUCAUGGUCAAGCCGCAACUGUGGGUUGUGGUGAGGGUAGUGGGUAAAGAAGCGCCGGCUAACUACGUGCCAGCAGCCGCGGUAAUACGUAGGGCGCGAGCGUUGUCCGGAAUUAUUGGGCGUAAAGGGCUUGUAGGCGGUUGGUCGCGUCUGCCGUGAAAUCCUCUGGCUUAACUGGGGGCGUGCGGUGGGUACGGGCUGACUUGAGUGCGGUAGGGGAGACUGGAACUCCUGGUGUAGCGGUGGAAUGCGCAGAUAUCAGGAAGAACACCGGUGGCGAAGGCGGGUCUCUGGGCCGUUACUGACGCUGAGGAGCGAAAGCGUGGGGAGCGAACAGGAUUAGAUACCCUGGUAGUCCACGCUGUAAACGUUGGGCACUAGGUGUGAGGCUCCUUUCCGGGGGUUUUGCGCCGUAGCUAACGCAUUAAGUGCCCCGCCUGGGGAGUACGGCCGCAAGGCUAAAACUCAAAGGAAUUGACGGGGGCCCGCACAAGCGGCGGAGCAUGCGGAUUAAUUCGAUGCAACGCGAAGAACCUUACCAAGGCUUGACAUGCACGGCGGCACUGCAGAGAUGUGGUGGCAUUUAGUUGGUCGUGUGCAGGUGGUGCAUGGUUGUCGUCAGCUCGUGUCGUGAGAUGUUGGGUUAAGUCCC
rnacentral:rRNA from 1 species